CCCUUAGAUGUUCUGGGCCGCACGCGCGCUACACUGAUGCAUUCAACGAGUCUAAAACCUGCUCUGAUAGGGGUGGGUAAUCUUUUGAAUGUGCAUCGUGAUUGGGAUAGAUGAUUGCAAUUUUUCAUCUUCAACGAGGAAUGCCUAGUAAACGCAAGUCAUCAGCUUGCAUUGAUUACGUCCCUGCCCUUUGUACACACCGCCCGUCGCUCCUACCGAUUGAAUGAUCCGAUGAACAUCAUGGAUUGAGGAUGCAAGUAGGUUCGCCUAUCUUCAUCUUCGAGAAGUGAAGUAAAUCUUAUCAUUUAGAGGAAGGAGAAGUCGUAACA
rnacentral:rRNA from 1 species